UCUCUUCUCAUCACCAUUCUAUGGCUGAGGAGACAGGAGGCUCAGAGUUAUGGUCACCAGAGCACUCAGAUGGACUUCCCAGUGGCACUUCCAGGUGGUGAAGAACCCGCCUGCCAACGCAUGAGACCUAAGAGACGUGGGUUCUAUCCCUGGGUCUUGAAGAUCCUGGAGGAGGGCAUGGCAACCCCCUCCAGUAUUCUUGCCUGGAGAAUCCCAUGGACAGAAGAGCCUGGCGGGCUGCAGUCAAUGGAGUCGCAAAGAGUCAGACACGACAGAGUGACUGAGCACGAGAAGAAUGUGCACAUUAAGAAAGUGUCAUCAGGGAACCCAUUCAUUAAGGGGAGCCCUUCCGUCCUUAAAAUCUAGAUGUGGAAGAGCCUGUUACACAGACUGAAGGAAGUCUGAAAGCAACUUCUGAACAUUUUCAUACAACGCUUAGAACAUUCUGAAUGGAACUCCAGAGCCUGAGGGACUUGAGGAGACUGUUUCACUCAAGCCCUAUUUUAAGGCUGAAGAGCUGGAGGCCAUAGCAGUUAAGUGACUGACCAGAUGUCCACCAGAGCGGGCAGUGGCAGAGUCUUGCUCUCCCAGCUCCAGUCCCAGGCACAUCGUGCUGCACCCCACUGCCUCUCACGGCUCCCUGUCAGUACUGGUUGCCACCCACACACUGCCCUUCCCCUGGACAUCUCCAGUCUCCCUGAUAAAUAAUGGAUGCCUAGGGCUACCCUGCUCCCAGGAGGCAGGCUAUGAAUCUCCCCUCCCGUCAGCUGUGCUGUGCAUUUCCAGUCAUACUGGUGGGUCUCUUAUUAUGUGAAUUUAUAGUUGUGCCUUCAGCAGGGCCAAAACAAGCUUCUUAGCAACAACUUCCAACUCUCCUGUUUUCCGAGGAUCCCUGGGGUGGGGCUGUACUGAAUCGGGGAGGGAGUUCUCUGAGCAAGGCUUGGGGAAGACAUAAUCUUUGCCAAGGAGGUGAAGAUACAUUCUGUAGAAUUCCAUGGCAUCUACCCCAUAACACCCCAAUGGAAAUCAACCUCUGCUCACCCCGCUCGAGUUGUCAUCUUGUGGGGGGCGGGUCCCUUUAACUGGAGGGACCAGAGUCAUAACCCAAGUAUGACUUCAACAGGUUUGCGCUAAAGAAGUCCUGUAUUCCCACUGUUCUCACUUGGUUGUUUAGUCUCCUGAUGUCUAUAGAAUGGGAACAAGCUCUUAUUAUUUUGUGGGAUUUCCCAUUUUCACAUUUGAUUUGCUUAUUUAAUCUCAAGCAAGUCUGAAUGCUCUCUGAGCCCAUUUUACUCAUCUCUCGUGAGUUGAGAACAAGGCACUUGGCAUUCAAUAAAGCUUUGUGAA